GACGAACGCUGGCGGCGUGCUUAACACAUGCAAGUCGAACGGUGAAGCGCCUUCCUUUUUGGUGGGUGUGGAUGAGUGGCGAACGGGUGAGUAACACGUGAGUAACCUGCCCCCUUCUUCUGGAUAACCGCAUGAAAGUGUGGCUAAUACGGGAUAUUCUGGGUCUGUCGCAUGAUGGGUCUGGGAAAGAUAUUGUUUCGGUGGGGGAUGGGCUCGCGGCCUAUCAGCUUGUUGGUGGGGUGAUGGCCUACCAAGGCGGUGACGGGUAGCCGGCCUGAGAGGGUGGACGGUCACACUGGGACUGAGGCACGGCCCAGACUCCUACGGGAGGCAGCAGUGGGGAAUAUUGAACAAUGGGGGCAAGCCUGAUGCAGCGACGCCGCGUGAGGGAUGGAGGCCUUCGGGUUGUGAACCUCUUUCGCCAGUGAAGCAGGCCUGCCUCGUUUGUGGGUGGGUUGACGGUAGCUGGAUAAGAAGCGCCGGCUAACUACGUG
rnacentral:rRNA from 1 species